CAGAAUGAGGGACUAAACAGCUGAUAAAAACAUCACAAUAAUCCACAUUACUCCAGUUGAUCAGUUAACAUCCUGUGAA